UACGUAGGGCGCGAGCGUUGUCCGGAAUUAUUGGGCGUAAAGGGUAGGUAGGCGGUCUCGUUUGUCUGGGGUGAAAGCCUUGAGCUUAACUCAAGAAGUGCCUUAGAAACGGCGAGACUGGAGUCUUGGAGAGGGUCGUGGAAUUCCCGGUGUAGCGGUGAAAUGCGUAGAGAUCGGGAGGAACACCAGUGGCGAAGGCGGCCUUCUGGACCAAUACUGACGCUCAUGCACGAAAGCGUGGGGAGCAAACAGG
rnacentral:rRNA from 1 species